rnacentral:rRNA from 1 species
UUGACGGAGAGUUUGAUCCUGGCUCAGGACGAACGCUGGCGGAGUGCUUCAUACAUGCAAGUCGAACGGACACCAUCCAGUAGCAAUACUGGUGAAGUGUUAGUGGCGAACGGGUGAGUAACACGUGAGGAACCUGCCCCGAACUCUGGGAUAACAGGCGGAAACGCCUGCUAAUACCGGAUAGCACCAGUGGACCGCAUGGUCUGCUGAUGAAAGUUUUUCGGUUCGGGAUGGUCUCGCGGCCUAUCAGCUAGUUGGUGGGGUAAUGGCCUACCAAGGCGUCGACGGGUAGCUGGUCUGAGAGGAUGAUCAGCCACACUGGGACUGAGACACGGC